rnacentral:rRNA from 1 species
UACGUAGGGCGCAAGCAUUGUCCGGAAUUAUUGGGCGUAAAGAGCUCGUAGGCGGCUUGUCACGUCGGGUGUGAAAGCCCGGGGCUUAACCCCGGGUCUGCAUUCGAUACGGGCAGGCUAGAGUUCGGUAGGGGAGAUCGGAAUUCCUGGUGUAGCGGUGAAAUGCGCAGAUAUCAGGAGGAACACCGGUGGCGAAGGCGGAUCUCUGGGCCGAUACUGACGCUGAGGAGCGAAAGCGUGGGGAGCGAACAUG